UACGUAGGGGGCAAGCGUUGUCCGGAAUCAUUGGGCGUAAAGCGCGUGUAGGCGGCCCGGUAAGUCCGCUGUGAAAGUCGGGGGCUCAACCCUCGAAUGCCGGUGGAUACUGUCGGGCUAGAGUGCGGGAGAGGCGAGUGGAAUUCCUGGUGUAGCGGUGAAAUGCGCAGAUAUCAGGAGGAACACCAAUUGCGGAGGCAGCUCGCUGGAACGUAACUGACGCUGAGACGCGAAAGCGUGGGGAGCAAACAGG
rnacentral:rRNA from 1 species